ACCUAUGAGACGUUUCGUCGGUCUCAAUACAGAGACAACGCUCUACGAAACCGUCUCUCUAUAGACUCGA